rnacentral:rRNA from 1 species
UUACGCUGUUAUCCCUAAGGUAAUUUAUUUUGUAAUACUAAAUUUUAGGAUUAUAAAUUCAUUAAUUAAUGAUAUUUUUACUUAAAAGUUUUUUUAAUUAUAAAAUUACCCCAAUUAAAUAUUAAGUAUUAAUUUAUAUUAUAGGUAUUAUAAGUUUAAUUAUGAUUAAUAUAAAAUUCUAAAGGGUCUUCUCGUCUUUUUAUUAUAUUUAAGAAUUUUGACUUAAAAUUUAAUUUUAAUUUUAUUUUUAUUUUAUAUAUUUAUAUUUCAUUCAAUCUUUCAUUCUAGUUUUCAAUUAAAAAACUAAUUAUUAUGCUACCUUUGUACAGUUAUUGAUACUGCAGCCAUUUAAAUUACCAUUGGGCAGAUUAGACUUAAAAUUAUUUUCAAUAAGACAUGUUUUUGUUAAACAGGCG